rnacentral:rRNA from 1 species
AUUGAACGCUGGCGGCAGGCCUAACACAUGCAAGUCGAACGAGUGGCGGACGGGUGAGUAAUGUCUGGGAAACUGCCCGAUGGAGGGGGAUAACUACUGGAACCGGUAGCUAAUACCGCAUACCAUCGGAUGUGCCCAGAUGGGAUUAGCUAGUGGGGGGGGUAACGGCUCACCUAGGCGACGAUCCCUAGCUGGUCUGAGAGGAUGACCGGCCACAUGGGAACUGAGACACGGUCCAGACUCCUACGGGAGGCAGCAGUGGGGAAUAUUGCACAAGGGGCGAAAGCCUGAUGAAGCCAUGCCGCGUGUAUGAAGAAGGCUUUCGGUUUGUAAAGUACUUUCAGCGAGGAGGCGUUACUCGCAGAAGAAGCACCGGCUAACUCCGUGCCAGCAGCCGCGGUAAUUC